GGUUCGAUGGCGUAGUUGGUUAUCGCAUCUGUCUAACAUUUCGCAGAAAGUUUACUGCACAGAAGGUCCUCAGUUCGAACCUGGGUUGAUUCA